CGCCGGUGGGUGAGCUGAGACCGACCACCCGUACGUCCGUAGCCCUAAUCCCUCCGCCUCCAUGGCGAGCCACCCCUGCGCCUCCCCCUCCCCGCCGCCGCACAAGAGGCCGCGGACGGCGGCGGCGGAGGAGGGCGACCCCCUCCCCGGCGCCUCCUCCGCGGCCGCCGCGUCGCCGGCGGAGGGCGACCCCCGCCCCGGCGCCUCCUCCGCGGCCGCCGCGUCGCCAGCAGGGUUCAUCUUCGUUUGCAGCGGCGCGACGAAGGCCGACUGCUACCGGCACCGGGUGCUGGGCCUGCCCCGCGGGAGGCUGGAGGCCGUCUCCCGGAUCCGGCGCGGCGCGGCGGUCUUCCUCUACGACUUCGACGCCAGGUGCCUCUACGGGCUCUACCGCGCCGACUCCGACGGCGGGGCCGACCUCGUCCCCGGCGCCUUCCGCGGCCGCUUUCCCGCGCAGGUUAAAUUUAUGAUCGAUGGUGAUUUCAUGCCGCUCCCUGAGAGUAGCCUAAAAAGUGCUAUAAAGGAGAACUACUUCAAAGGGAAGUUCAGCCCAGAGCUUACCUCUACACAAGUUGAGAAAUUGAGCUCAUUGUUUCAACCAAUUACUUUGCUUCCGGAAUCGUCACCCCCACAUGAUGUUGAUAACUGGCCCCCUGCUCCUGCUUCUCGCCCUCCUUCAGCUCACCUGGCACAGCCACCUCCGACUAGCUAUCCUGCUCCAGCCACCUCCAUGGCGAACCAGUCCUCACCUCUUGCCCCCACCUCCCCACCACUGCACAAGCAGAUGCACUCCCCGGCAGUGGUAGCAGAGGACCAUGCCCACCCUGGAGCUUCCUCCACCGCUGCUGCUUCACCGGCAGGGUUCAUCUUCAUGUGUAGCGGCGCCACGAAGCCCGACUGCUACCGCCACCGGGUGCUGGGCCUGCCACGGGGGAGGCUGGAGGCUGUCUCCCGGAUCCGGCGCGGGGCAGCGCUCUUCCUAUACGACUUCGAUACCAAGCACCUCUACGGGCCCUACAACGCCGACUCUGAUGGUGGGGCUGACCUUGUUCCCGGUGCCUUCCGUGGCCGCUUCCCUGCACAGAGAAGGCAGAUUAAGAUGGGCUUUAAAGGAUAUGGGCUUACCUGUCACUUGGAAUAGCAUAUGGAGUAUGCACAGUUUUAGAUUUUUCUGGAAUCUCUCAGUAUAUUGUUCCGCCUGUACCUCUUCAUUCAUUGCGAUGAUGUGAAGGAAAAAAAAAGCUGCUAAUCAAAUUGAUCAUUUCUAGUGGUUUUCAAGGGCAUGAGAAGGAGGUUAAAUUUACGAUCGAUGGUGAUUUCAUGCCCGUUCCUGAGAGUAGUCUAAGAAGUGCUAUAAAGGAGAACUAUAGCAAAGGAAAGUUCAGCUCGGAGCUUACCUCUACACAAGUUGAGAAACUGAGGGCAUUGUUUCAGCCAAUUACUUCGCUUCCACAGUCAUCAUCCCCACAUGAUGUUGAUAACUGGCCCCCAGCCACUGCUUUUCUGCCGCCUCCAGAACUCCCGGCACAGCCACCUGCUUAUGCAAAUCAUCCAACUGCAUAUGUUGCUCCUCUGGCUGCUCAUUUGAUGCCACCUCAAGCCUAUGUACCUCCAUGUUCUUCUACUCAACCUGCUAUGGGUACUUAUCAUGGACCAACAACUGUGUAUGGUUAUCAAGCUGGAUAUGCAGCAUGUGAUCCUACCUAUCAAUAUGUGGAAGCGCCCCUUCCAUUUUCUCUUUAUGACCAAUACUCCAUGUCACAGCAUGUUCCAGCUCCUAUCUAUUAUACUGCCCCCUAUUAUCAGCAUGAUCCAUAUCAACCUGGCAAUGUCAAUUCUCAUUAUUAGCAAAGCACAUAUGAGAGAGCUACCUAUGUUGCUGGGCAUGACAUUGAUGCAGCAAACUUGCAACAUGUCAGUUAUGGAUCACUCCAAGCAUUCCGACUGCGGCACAUAUAACAGCCGUAACAAACUUAUAAGCCAUCAGCGGUUUGGUCCUGAGGUGAAUCAGCCCCAACAGGAAGUUACUUACACUGUUCGUGCAGCUGGCAGCAGCACCCACGGAGCUGGCUCGGUGGGGUCCGUAUGCAUGCAUACCAGCCACACCAGGGUGCCAGUGAUUGUUAUUUCAAGUUUUGAAAGCAUGAUCAUCGAAGCAAACAGCACUUCUAGGCUGUUCUAACUUAUGCCAUCUGCGCAAGGGAUAAAGGUCUCAAAGUUGGUAUCGCCUCACAUCCUACUGACACUGAUGGUGUACAGCUGAGUUCAGUUCUUUUGGGUUCUCUAGAUAGGUUCUUCUGACCGGGUAGCUGCUUAAGUUAAAAGAAUAUGGAUGUAAAUAUGUUAAGCUGUUAGUGAAAACAGCUUUUGGGUGGCAGACUAGUGUCUUAUUGCAUAAUUUGGCAUCAAACCUCUAAUGCUAGUGUAUGUACUCGCACAGGAUGGCAAGCAAGACGAAUGGCCUGUAAAGGCUUACCUUGUGCCCAUCCGAAAAAUCAUGGGAAUCUUAUAAAAAAUUUACUUGAGAA